CCUCUUCUCCAGGCCGUAACAGCCCAUCCCGUGCAGGGCUGCGCCGCACUUGCAUGGCUUGGAAACUGCCGGACACGGCCAGGCCGCCGCCGUGGCGUCCGGAAUCAUCACUGCUCUCUGCCUGUUCUUUUCCAGCACUUGGGUUUUCCUUCCCACCUCACUCCCUACUGUCACGCCGGCUCACAGUACGUCACGAUCAGGCGAGGCCUUUAU
rnacentral:lncRNA from 1 species